GACGAACGCUGGCGGCGUGCCUAAUACAUGCAAGUCGAACGGUGAAGGUUGGUACUUGUACCGACUGGGUGAGCAGAGCACGGGAGAGUAACGCGUGGGGAAUGUGCCUUAGAGCGGGGGACAACAUUGGGAAACGGAUGCUAAUACGGCAUAAACACUUUAUACACAGGGUUUAAGUUUGAAAGAUGGAAUUGCAUCACGCAAAGACGAUUCCGCGUUGUGUUGGCUAGUUGGUGGGGUAAAGGCUCACCGAGGGGGUGAUACAUAGCCGACCUGAGCGGGGGGUCGGCCCCAUUGGGACUGAGACCCGGCCCAAAGUCCUACAGGAGGCCGCAGUACGGAAGCGUGGGCGAUGGGCGGAAGUUUGACCGAGCAGCGCCGCGUGAGUGCAGAGGGUUUUCGGGUGGGAAAACUCUGUUUGUAGUGUAGAACGCUGGUGAGAGUGGAAAGCUCAUCAAGUGACGGUAACUGGACAAGAAGCACCGGCUAACUACGUG
rnacentral:rRNA from 1 species